CACGUAGGGUGCGAGCGUUGUCCGGAAUUAUUGGGCGUAAAGAGCUCGUAGGCGGUGUGUCGCGUCGGCCGUGAAAACCUGCAGCUUAACUGUGGGCUUGCGGUCGAUACGGGCAUCACUGGAGUUCGGCAGGGGAGACUGGAAUUCCUGGUGUAGCGGUGAAAUGCGCAGAUAUCAGGAGGAACACCCGGUGGCGAAGGCGGGUCUCUGG
rnacentral:rRNA from 1 species